rnacentral:rRNA from 1 species
ACCUGUCAAAUUCCUUCACUAACUUUCUCUCACAGUAUAGAAAUAUAUUAUUAACGUGAUUUCCACAAUGGUGCUAAAAAAAAUUUAAUGCUUGAAUAAGGUUCAAUAGGUAUGAGAGUUCAUCAUAUUAAUAUGGUACGUGAGUUGGGUUA